AACGAACGCUGGCGGCAGGCUUAACACAUGCAAGUCGAGCGCGUAGCAAUACGAGCGGCAGACGGGUGAGUAACGCGUGGGAAUCUACCCAACCCUACGGAAUAACCCAGGGAAACUUGGACUAAUACCGUAUACGCCCUUUGGGGGAAAGAUUUAUCGGGGAUGGAUGAGCCCGCGUUGGAUUAGCUAGUUGGUGGGGUAAAGGCCUACCAAGGCGACGAUCCAUAGCUGGUCUGAGAGGAUGAUCAGCCACAUUGGGACUGAGACACGGCCCAAACUCCUACGGGAGGCAGCAGUGGGGAAUAUUGGACAAUGGGCGCAAGCCUGAUCCAGCCAUGCCGCGUGAGUGAUGAAGGCCCUAGGGUUGUAAAGCUCUUUCACCGGAGAAGAUAAUGACGGUAUCCGGAGAAGAAGCCCCGGCUAACUUCGUGCCAGCAGCCGCGGUAAAAC
rnacentral:rRNA from 1 species